rnacentral:rRNA from 1 species
GACGAACGCUGGCGGCGUGCCUAAUACAUGCAAGUCGAACGCAGUGGGGACGGGUGAGUAACACGUGGGUAACCUCCCAUCAGAGGGGAUAACACUUGGAAACAGGUGCUAAACCGAUACUGAUGGAUGGACCCGCGGUGCAUUAGCUAGUUGGUGAGGUAACGGCUCACCAAGGCCACGAUGCAUAGCCGACCUGAGAGGGUGAUCGGCCACACGGGGACUGAGACACGGCCCAGACUCCUACGGGAGGCAGCAGUAGGGAAUCUUCGGCAAUGGACGAAAGUCUGACCGAGCAACGCCGCGUGAGUGAAGAAGGUUUUCGGGUUGUAAAGCACUGUGGUUAGAGAAGCGGUAUCUGACGAGGAAGCCACGGCUAACUACGUGCCAGCAGCCGCGGUAAUAC